rnacentral:rRNA from 1 species
UUUAUGGAGAGUUUGAUCCUGGCUCAGGAUGAACGCUGGCGGCGUGCCUAAUACAUGCAAGUCGAGCGAACAGAUAAGGAGCUUGCUCCUUUGACGUUAGCGGCGGACGGGUGAGUAACACGUGGGUAACCUACCUAUAAGACUGGAAUAACUCCGGGAAACCGGGGCUAAUGCCGGAUAACAUGUUGAACCGCAUGGUUCUACAGUGAAAGACGGUCUUGCUGUCACUUAUAGAUGGACCCGCGCCGUAUUAGCUAGUUGGUGGGGUAACGGCCUACCAAGGCGACGAUACGUAGCCGACCUGAGAGGGUGAUCGGCCACACUGGAACUGAGACACGGUCCAGACUCCUACGGGAGGCAGCAGUAGGGAAUCUUCCGCAAUGGGCGAAAGCCUGACGGAGCAACGCCGCGUGAGUGAUGAAGGUCUUCGGAUCGUAAAGCUCUGUUGUUAGGGAAGAACAAAUGUGUAAGUAACUGUGCACAUCUUGACGGUACCUAACCAGAAAGCCACGGCUAACUACGUGCCAGCAGCCGCGGUAAUACGUAGGUGGCAAGCGUUAUCCGGAAUUAUUGGGCGUAAAGCGCGCGUAGGCGGUUUUUUAAGUCUGAUGUGAAAGCCCACGGCUCAACCGUGGAGGGUCAUUGGAAACUGGAAAACUUGAGUGCAGAAGAGGAAAGUGGAAUUCCAUGUGUAGCGGUGAAAUGCGCAGAGAUAUGGAGGAACACCAGUGGCGAAGGCGGCUUUCUGGUCUGCAACUGACGCUGAUGUGCGAAAGCGUGGGGAUCAAACAGGAUUAGAUACCCUGGUAGUCCACGCCGUAAACGAUGAGUGCUAAGUGUUAGGGGGUUUCCGCCCCUUAGUGCUGCAGCUAACGCAUUAAGCACUCCGCCUGGGGAGUACGGUCGCAAGACUGAAACUCAAAGGAAUUGACGGGGACCCGCACAAGCGGUGGAGCAUGUGGUUUAAUUCGAAGCAACGCGAAGAACCUUACCAAAUCUUGACAUCCUUUGACCGCUCUAGAGAUAGAGUUUUCCUCUUCGGAGGACAAAGUGACAGGUGGUGCAUGGUUGUCGUCAGCUCGUGUCGUGAGAUGUUGGGUUAAGUCCCGCAACGAGCGCAACCCUUGAACUUAGUUGCCAUCAUUCAGUUGGGCACUCUAAGUUGACUGCCGGUGACAAACCGGAGGAAGGUGGGGAUGACGUCAAAUCAUCAUGCCCCUUAUGAUUUGGGCUACACACGUGC